AGUUCAUACUAGUUCGUGGGUCA
rnacentral:miRNA from 1 species